rnacentral:lncRNA from 1 species
GCAUAAGCUGAAGCUAGCUAGCAGUGCAAUGCAUAAAAUGUGGUGAGUAGUUGACUCAGAGAGAGAAAGACAUUAGUUGAAAAGUUUUAAACAAAUUAAUUUAUUAAAAAAUGAAGGAGAAGCAAGAGAGAGAGAAAGAUUUUAUCAUUUGUUUUCACUUUCAGUUUCACUUACUUAGCUAGCAAAUACAGCUGGCAAGUUUAGUUACUCAAACACCCGGCUCAAACAGAGGGAUGCUAUGUUAACUAGCUGACUAUGACUAUCCAACACAACACUGAAACUCUUCCAAGUCAAGAGAGACACUACCAUUUCCGGUAUAGCAUUUCCCACAGGCAGCAGACUGCGUCUAAGAAGGGUGGCACUCGGCAGUAAUCCUGAGGUGCUUGCUACCGGCAUUGGCAGCUUCUCACAGGCCCAAAGGCCAAACUGAGAGAGCUUAAGAUGUGCUCUCAGGACCAACAGCUUGCCCAGACCCUGCUGGGACUCAUCAAUGAUAUCCAGAGGCGGGAGAGAAUGUCUGGGGCUCUGGAGCCAGAGGGGGAUGAACCCCACUAACCAUCCCCAACCAGUACACCUCCCUUGGGGGAAACAGAGAGUGAGGGUGGGGGUAUGUUGCUGGAAGUUCAUGGAACCCUGUCUGAACCCAUGACCAGACUGUCCUUUGGCAUUUCUAAGACAGAUACGGGGAAGUGCUAUACAAAAGAG